rnacentral:rRNA from 1 species
GUUAGGAAUAUUCGUCAAUGGGGGAAACCCUGAACGAGCAAUGCCGCGUGAGUGAUGACGGUCCUUUGGAUUGUAAAACUCUGUUGUUAGGGAAGAACGACCUGUAUAGGAAAUGAUACAGGAGUGACGGUACCUUUCAAGAAAGCUCCGGCUAACUACGUGCCAGCAGCCGCGGUAAUACGUAGGGAGCGAGCGUUAUCCGGAUUUAUUGGGUGUAAAGCGUGUGUAGGCGGUUUAUUAAGUCUGAGGUUUAAUCCCGGAGCUUAACUCCGGUUCGCCUCAGAAACUGAUUUACUUGAGUAUGGUAGAGGCAAGUGGAAUUUCUAGUGUAGCGGUAAAAUGCGUAGAUAUUAGAAGGAACACCAGUGGCGAAGGCGACUUGCUGGGCCAUCACUGACGCUGAGACACGAAAGCGUGGGGAGCAAAUAGGAUUAGAAACCCUAGUAGUCCC